UACGUAGGGAGCAAGCGUUGUUCGGAUUUACUGGGCGUAAAGGGCGCGUAGGCGGCCUCUGCAAGUCGACUGUGAAAUCUCCGGGCUUAACCCGGAACGGUCAGCCGAUACUGCAGGGCUAGAGUGCAGAAGGGCGACCGGAAUUCUCGGUGUAGCGGUGAAAUGCGUAGAUAUCGAGAGGAACACCUGCGGCGAAGGCGGUUUGCUGGGCUGACACGUGACGCUGGAGGCGCGAAAGCUAGGGAGCGAACGG
rnacentral:rRNA from 1 species